GCAAGUCGAGGGGUAACAGAUGAAGAGCUUGCUCAGAUUGCUGACGACCGGCGCACGGGUGAGUAACACGUAUGCAACCUACCUUUUACAGAGGGAUAGCCCAGAGAAAUUUGGAUUAAUACCUCAUAGUAUUACUGGAUCGCAUGAUUUGGUAAUUAAAGCUCCGGCGGUACAAGAUGAACAUGCGUGACAUUAGCUAGUUGGUAAGGUAACGGCUUACCAAGGCUACGAUGUCUAGGGGUUCUGAGAGGGUGAUC
rnacentral:rRNA from 1 species